rnacentral:rRNA from 1 species
AUACGGAGGGUGCGAGCGUUACUCGGAGUCACUGGGCGUAAAGCGUCCGUAGGCGGUCGAGUAAGUCGGGUGUGAAAGCCCCGGGCUCAACCUGGGAAGUGCACCCGAUACUGCUCGACUCGAGUGCGGGAGAGGAUGGCGGAAUUCCCGGUGUAGCGGUGAAAUGCGUAGAGAUCGGGAGGAACACCAGUGGCGAAGGCGGCCAUCUGGCCCGCAACUGACGCUGAGGGACGAAAGCGUGGGGAGCAAACAGGAUUAGAAACCCUAGUAGUCC